UAGGGGAGCCGGAGGGAAACCGAGUCUUAACCGGGCGUUAAGUUGCAGGGUAUAGACCCGAAACCCGGUGAUCUAGCCAUGGGCAGGUUGAAGGUUGGGUAACACUAACUGGAGGACCGAACCGACUAAUGUUGAAAAAUUAGCGGAUGACCUGUGGCUGGGGGUGAAAGGCCAAUCAAACCGGGAGAUAGCUGGUUCUCCCCGAAAGCUAUUUAGGUAGCGCCUCGUGAAUUCAUCUCCGGGGGUAGAGCACUGUUUCGGCUAGGGGGCCAUCCCGGCUUACCAACCCGAUGCAAACUGCGAAUACCGGAGAAUGUUAUCACGGGAGACACACGGCGGGUGCUAACGUCCGUCGUGAAGAGGGAAACAACCCAGACCGCCAGCUAAGGUCCCAAAGUCAUGGUUAAGUGGGAAACGAUGUGGGAAGGCCCAGACAGCCAGGAUGUUGGCUUAGAAGCAGCCAUCAUUUAAAGAAAGCGUAAUAGCUCACUGGUCGAGUCGGCCUGCGCGGAAGAUGUAACGGGGCUAAACCAUGCACCGAAGCUGCGGCAGCGAA
rnacentral:rRNA from 1 species